UGGGUGGUGCUGGGCUAUCUGGCGGCGGCGGAGGCCAUCAUGCUCCUCCUGCUGACCUUCCCGGGACUCGAAAGCCUCCGGGUCUGCUGGCAGUGUGUGAGCGGGCCGCCGGGGGACUCGGAGCACGGCCGCACCCACUCCGACAACAUCCGGCACGAGAAGCCUUUCGUCGAGAGCAACCUUAACGCCAUCCUAAUCGUCGCUGCUCUUCUCCUCUACUGGCUCCUCUUCCCCAUCACCAACCUUCUGCUCCGCGUCCACCAGCUUGGCCAGCAACUCGAGACACUCAAAAAGAAAGACCGAUCGUAGGGGGUUUUACUUCUCACUAUUUUAUAUAUCGUAACUCUGAUGAUUGUGCUGAACCUAAUUAAGAUUGUGACAAGAAAAUAAUUGAAAUAAUUGUGUUUAUGAUGUUA